rnacentral:misc_RNA from 1 species
AACCUAGCACACCUGCGGUGUGUACCUGCGGAAGGAUCAUUACUGAGUGAGGGCCUUCGGGCUCGACCUCCAACCCUUUGUGAACACAACUUGUUGCUUCGGGGGCGACCCUGCCGUUUCGACGGCGAGCGCCCCCGGAGGCCUUCAAACACUGCAUCUUUGCGUCGGAGUUUAAGUAAAUUAAACAAAACUUUCAGCAACGGAUCU